GCAAGGAGUUGUCUUUAUGACUCAGAGACUGAAUUCCACAUGGCUUUUUCUUCGAGCCCUACACAUGCGACCAGGCAUCACACUGGGAGCUCAUAUUCAGCUGAUCAUCCACCACCAUCUGCAAACCUUUUUCAGAGUCCGUGCUUCCCAGGGUAGAGUCCCCCAUCCUGGUGGCUGACUUCAGAGGCAGCGGCUUAUAUUCUGCAAUGAAGGAAUAGAGUCCCGACCCCUUGGAGCUUCAGGAACAACUAUUCCUCCCUACCCGGUGUGUCAGUUUUUCUAGCCACAUGUCAUUCAUCCUGAAUGGCAGCAGAGUAGAUAAUUAGUUCCCGAGCUUGCAGAGCUGAGGAAGUGGGAUCACAGUCUCUGGCUCCCUGCUUCUGCAUCGACACCGUUUCCUGUCUCUAUUCGCUUUAAUGACAGGUGAUUGAGACUGGAGGUAGGAAACAGGAGCAAUUUCCUGGGUGGGGCUGAGAAUAGGAACAUACAGGGCAUCAUGAUGUAAUCAAUGCUUAUGCACAACUCCUGUUGAGGUCCAUGGGAUUUGGUCACGUGCAGCUGCGGUUCAUCCAGCCCCCUGGAUUCUAUCCUCAGCUUUGCACUUUAAC